ACUGAGGUCUAUCCCGACAGACACUGAUCUGUAGAGUCAUGUCGUUGGAAAUGCCUCAGAGAGCAAAUCUGUAGUUUCGCUUUACCCACAUGUUCCCUGCAAUGAGCUCUGUGGGAUAUAACUGCAGGACACAU